AUUGCUGGGGCUGACUCUCGCUCCUCCAGGGGCCGUCGUUCUUUUACAAAGAGGGGUGGAGGUUGUUGGUGCCUUUUUUUUUUUUCUUUAUGAAUGGAGGGCGGCGGCGACUGCUGCAGCUGGCUCAGCUGCGCGGGCUGUACCCCCUCCCAGCCUGCGAGAGGAGGAAACUAGAGGAGGACCUGCCCCAACAAAACCAAGGCGUAAAUCAAGAGAGUAGACACCGUGGAAAUAACUGCAUGGAGCUCAGGCUCCCCGGAAGCUGUCCUGCCGUACGUGAAGCUUGUUGGAGCGGCACAGAAGAAGAAUGAAAAAAUGCUGGGGUCUCAACAUAACAUACCAGGAGGGGGUCCAGUGAGUCUACAUUUUAGAGGCACCCAGCCUGCGUGUUCAUCCUAGCCUCUGCUGCGUUGGCUGUGUGACCUGGGACAAGUUACAAAAAGAAUACAAAGAAUUCCCUGUAUUCCCUUUGUAAUAUGUUUUUAAAAGAUGAAAUAAUUAAAAGAAAUGUGCCCCGAAUAUCAGAUGUCAGACCUUCUACCACCAAGACUCUAUACAUAUCCAGGAGUGGAAUUGCUGGGUCAUAUGGUAGUUCUAUUUUUAGUUUUUUGAGAAAUCUCCAUACUGUUUUCCACAGUGGCUGUACUAGUUUACAUUCCCACCAACAGUGUAUGAAGGUUCCCUUUUCUCUCACAAUCCUGUUUUCUUCGUGUGCUGCUCCACAUAUGUGAAUUUAUGCCCUUUCAGUCUCGCAUAAGUAGCUUCACAUUGUUUUCAUCCUCUGUGAUCAAAAUGACAAGGAUUCUUCAUCUUUAGGGAUCACAGAUUAAUAUAGUGAAUUAGUCUGUGAGCCCUGGUGUCACUGCCUGCAUUGGAAUGUCAAUCCUACCACUUAUCAUCUGUGAUCCUGAGUCUCAGUUUCCCAGUCUGGGAAACGGUACCAACCUCAUAGGAUUAAUCGAACAAGAAAGAGAGGUCAGUAGCCCUUAGUGGACGACUGAGUGGACGAGGGUUGGUUCCCGCUUCUGCCCAGGUUUAAUGGCUCUUCCAGCGACAUCUGCAUUUAUGAGGGGGGAAAGAAAAAGGAUCCCUAACAGAUGGAAAAAGAGGCCCUCUGGGUAAAGAAAGAAAAACUUCCACUAAAAGAGGACACCAGUGGUCAAAUGACACGUGUGAGUGGUGGCGAGUUUUGGCAAAAGGGAGGCGGCAGAAAUUCAAGGUGACUUCAUCACUCUUCACAGCAUCCCUGGAGGAAGGUGGCACCGGCUCUGUCCUACAGGAGAAUGAAUUGGUGCUGACUACAAGGACUGUACAAGAAAGAGGUGAAGAAGAGACUGGAAAACCAACAUGAGAACUUCAUCUUAUAAGACAAUGAAGACAAGGGAACCAGAGCAACGGUCAGCCCGAGGCUUCUUCAGCUGUAGCCUGUGGACCAAAGGCAUCAGAACCAGCUGGGCCCCAGCCAGGAAAUGCAGAAUCCUGGGCCCCUCAUGAACCCGGCUAUGUCAGGACUUGUGUGGGCCACUGGCCCAGAUGCUUGUCCUUGUUCCUCUACCUUGGACUCCUUUACCUCCCAGCUGAGUUGGACAUCCUGUCAGCCCAGGUUCAUUCUCUGUUACCUGCCCCCCAGCUACGCCAUCUGGGAUGGGGUGAAGCCAGGACAAGAUGUCAUUUUGCAAAGGAGGCAGAGCCCAUAUCAGGAUGCUUUGGCACCAGGACAUUGUCAGGUUUGAAGGAGACUCCAGGAACUGCUACAGCCAUCUGCCAGCCUAACAAGGAAACCAACUCAAAGCAGAGAGCAGAGGCCAAGGAAUUUCAGGAAAGCAGGGCCAGGAUAUGUUGUGGAUGGACCCUAAUCUACCCCUGAACUUCUUAUUACGUGAGGUACCCAAGGAGAGCGUCCUUUGUGCCAGGUACUGUGCCAACCAUCCUUGAAGGUUAACUCCUGACCAUCCCAUGUGCUAAUGACACCCAACUCUCUGAAGUCCGGACCCCUCUCCCUUCAGAUUCACGCUUGGACAUUCACAAGGUCCUGAAAUGAACCUGGGCCUCUUAUAGAACAAGGGCGGAAACCUACCUCCAGUUCCAUCUUUACGUGAGCACCCGCCCUCGACAAUUUAUGGGAUUAUGCUGAAAAAUCAAUCUUUUACAAUUUCACCUAACAUCUGCCAGAGGAAACAAAAGAUUAUUAAAAGGGGACUUAUCAGAGUUCAUCUUCCAACAAAGUGGUGGAAGAAGUGUUUGACUUCCAAGGCUACGUCAUAAAAGGUAAUUCAGCUUUCCUCUUGUGAGCUGGGACGUUCACACUGGGGUGCUGAGGCUGCCAUGCAGUGAGGAAACUCAACUAGACCACAUUGAGAGACCACACAGUGAAGUCCUGAGCCCACCGAAGAGAGGGAGAUGCUCCUGUUACCAUAUGACUGCAAACAUAUGCGAGACCCCAAGCCAGAAUCACCCAGCCAGGCUCUCUCCCAAAUUCCUGACCCACAGAGAU